AGUGUUGUUACCGGUGAGGGAUUUAUCUCAUCACGCAUGAUUUUCCUUCAGGUUUUUAGUGGAAGCUAGAUAAAAAUAAACAUUGUUGAGAAAUAUGAUGGUUUUUGCCCGCUCAUUUAUGUUGGAAGUUACUUGUGUUUAUGAGAACCAUCAGAUUUGUUAGCUAUGCAAUUUGGAUUGAAGAUAGUAGAUUAAGUCUGAUAUGAGAACAUGGCCUGAUGGGAAUGUAAUUGAGGUGAUGGAUUCUCCUUUUGGAAGUGGAUUGAGGCAAAUUUCUUGUAGAAGAGAAUUUUGUGUGCUUGCUGCAGAUUGAGAAAUAUGAGGUGAUUGAAAUGACAUGAUCUCCAGACAAAAAUAAUUCUGUGAUAUGAUGAUUUUGUCAACUAUGUGAGGGAACAUGCAUGCCAGUGUGGUUAAUGCACCCCUGAAACCAUCAGAUAAAAAGAAUGGGAGAACAUCCACGUAUGAGUUUGAGGUCAGUGCUGAGAAUAGACCAUGAUGGACAAUCACCGAAGCUAUUGACAAAUUUGUUCAUGGCAAAAGAAAAAUAAAAUAAAGUGUUGAAAAAUAUGAUGGUUUUUGCCCGCUCAUUUAUGUUGGAAGUUACUCGUGUUUAUGAGAACCAUCAGAUUUGUUAGCUAUGCAAUUUGGAUUGAAGAUAGGAGAUUAAGUCUGAUAUGAGAACAUGGCCUGAUGGGAAUGUAAUUGAGGUGAUGGAUUCUCCUUUUGGAAGUGGAUUGAGGCAAAUUUCUUGUAGAAGAGAAUUUUGUGUGCUUGCUGCAGAUUGAGAAAUAUGAGGUGAUUGAAAUGACAUGAUCUCCAGACAAAAAUAAUUCUGUGAUAUGAUGAUUUUGUCAACUAUGUGAGGGAACAUGCAUGCCAGUGUGGUUAAUGCACCCCUGAAACCAUCAGAUAAAAAGAAUGGGAGAACAUCCACGUAUGAGUUUGAGGUCAGUGCUGAGAAUAGACCAUGAUGGACAAUCACCGAAGCUAUUGACAAAUUUGUUCAUGGCAAAAGAAAAAUAAAAUAAAUAUAAGGAUAAUAAAUUAAAAAAUAAAAAGUGAAACCAAUUUGGAGCUGGGUUCUUGUAAGAGUUAUGGAUCAAGCUUUCUAUGAGAUUUAGUUUCUGUUGUUCACUUCAGUAUUUGUAGUUUGUAGUCAUAGGCGCAUCAUGCAAGUUAUUCCUUCUUUAGAUUUGGGAUGUCCUUGUGAUAUUAUUGCAUGUAGCCGUAUUGAGUGGCUUAAGUUAUAAAGCUGGAAACAACUGAACUUUGAUAUGAUAUCUGGCUACUGUCUUGAAUGUAAGAUAUAAAGCCCAUGUUUGAGUCCCAUUUUUCCAUAAGUUCAUUAUCUACCAUGCAUUAUCCCUAUAACUUUGCAUGUAAAUCCAAAAUGCUUCCCUACCUUUUAACCACAUAUUCUUCAAAAAAAUCACUUUUUUCAAAAUUUAUUUUUGAAAAAUGGGGCUCAAA
rnacentral:lncRNA from 1 species